CAAACAAACAAAAAAGCUAUUGAAAUGACACCUUUUAACCCCAUAUCUGCUCUGCUAGUGCACUAUUAGGAUCUAAUAACUCAGACAAUGAGAAGACCCCUCUAUUGUUCGCCUCUUGCAUAUUGCAAGUAUAUUUAUGCAAAAGUACAAAAUUGAUAUUUUUCAAUCUAUCCCUUUAAAGGAACCUUACACUUUGAUGGAUGGAUGAAUGGAAAAAUGGGUGAUAAUUCCAUACCUUUACAUAAAAAAAAAUCACUGUGUGACUUUGGUUUAACAGAAUUGUUUCCUAAGUAAAGAUUUUAAUACAUUCUCAAAAACUCACCAUUGCUCUUUUUAAAUAACCACAAUGCCCUGGGGGGAUCGUGCUGUUGUCUGGGAAAGUGAAGUAUUCACUGGAUAAAAGCUAUUUGCAUGAAGGAAAUGUACCAAUAUUAGAAUUUGAUGAGCUGCACUUGCUUAGUAAAUAAAUGAAUUAAUCCUGUCUAUUGUCCUUGUGAUUUAUUCAGCUAGUGUCCUCACUGGAGACUAGAAGUUAAUUAAGAUCAUAGUGAAGGAUGUGGUUCUGUCUAGCUACUCAUAAAGAUAUUGUGCGUGUGUGGAGUAGCAGUCCUCGGUUUGACUGCAGUUUACACGUACACUUCUUUUAUCAAAGAUUUUCUUGCUAUUUGGAGAUAAUAGUAAUUUGAUUGUAAUAAUUGAAUUAAUCAUCACCAAUUGUACAUUGCAGCUACAGUAAAAAACCAAAAAAAACCCUCCAUCCCAGUGUGAUCAGUCAUAUCUGAUCUGACAUAUCUGUGGGAAAACAGUUUUUCAAUUAUCACCUAAAAAUGAGUUUUAAUGAAAAAUAGCUCUCAUUAUUUUCACAGAUUCAAUUCUCCUGCUCAGGUGAAUUGAAUCUAUGAUUUAAUGGCAGUGCCUUUGGUAGACAGAAGGUUUUAAAGAAUAACACCUAAACCACUGGAGUAAAUGAAGAGAAACUGCUCUGUUUGCUAACAUUUAUAUUCAUGUAGGUGUUCUUUCCUUUACGUAAUAAGAAGACUUUUACACUUUGAGAUGAUAAAAUAAUAAAAAAUAUGUCCUAAUACAAUUGAAAAAGCCAAUGUAGUUAACGCUGUGGGGCCCUGUUAAGGCAUCUAUAACAUGACUGCAAGUUGUACUAACAUGAAUUGACAGUUACAUAAAAACGGGAAGAACGUAUUUGCCAGUCAAAGACAGUAAAGGUGUAUAUGAUUUCUUUAAUGGGACUGACCAUGAAAAAACUUGAGCUCAUACUUGGCUUAGAUCAGCUAUACAGUCCUUUUCUCAUUCCCAGCACAUGCACUGGUUAAUGUUUCACCUAACUUAUACCUUGUGUGUUUCGCUUUUACAAGAAAAGAAGAAACACGUGUUUAUUUUUUUAUUUAAAAUCUUGUGACAAUAUUGUCCUGUCUUCCUCCCCUCACCCCAACCGGAUGUGGCAGAUCGCCAACUGUCAGGGACCAAGCAGUAAGACAUAAAGGACACAGGUGUUUAAUGUGUCUUGGGAAAAGGCUUAAAGGUCCCUUUAAAAAAAAAAAAAGGGGGUUUAUUGACCCCAAAAUAUAAAAAGAUACUUAACAAAGCCAAAAAACUUGAACAGGCAGACCAAUAAAAGAGUUCAACUCAAUAAACUAAAUUCAAGAUAACAAUUAACCAAACCUCAAACAAACAUAAGACAAACUGACCUGCUGAAAUGACACGAGGGAACUUAAAUACUGGCUUAGCUAAACCAAACGUCACACAAGGGGGAAAACAAAAUGGCUGCCAUAUAACCAACUAAUACAAAACAAUUAAACAAACUUGAAACACCCCCCAGGCAAUGAAGCAUGUGGUUUCAUCCAAUGAGGCUUUGAGCAGUACUUCAGCUCUCCAGCUCUCCAACUUUCCACAACUGAUUAGAUCUGUCUUCGAUUAUGGGUGUGUGGCAUAUGGUUCAGCAGCUCGUUCUGUGUUGGGACGUUUGGAUGUUUUGCAAUCGGAAGCCCUUAGAGUGUGCUGUGGAGCUUUUAAAACGUCUCCAGUCAGUGCCCUACAGGUGGAGAUGGGAGAAAUGCCCCUGGAUCUUAGGAGGAAGCAAGUAUCAGUGAAUUACUGGGUUCAUCUUGGUGGUCAUGGUGACGCACAUCCUACAAAGGAGGUACUUUUGGAGUGCUGGGAGUAUGGAAAAAGUCAGAAGGAUCAUUUUGGAAAGGUGGGGAAUCAGUGGGCUAAGGAGUGUCAUGUGUAUGAACUUAAAAUAUGUCCUGCAGUUGUGUUCCCUGUGGUUCCUCCAUGGUUAUUGGAGACCCCUCCUGUGGACUGGUACUUGCUGGAUCUGAAGAGGAAAUUGAAAGGAAAAGUCAAUCUUGUGUCAGCAUUUCAUUUUCACAGCUCGAAUGAAUACCCUGGGUAUGUUCAUGUGUUCACGGAUGGUGCUAAAAGUCCAGAUACUGGGAUUACAGGGUUUGGAAUAGCAGUUCCAUCCAAAAAUAUUGAAAUAAACAGACGCACUUCGGAUGGCCUUUCAGUGUACAUGGUUGAAAUGGUAGCAAUUUUGGUAGCAUUGAAAUGGAUAGUGUUCAAAACUCAGGCAGGUAGUAGUAUGUUCUGACUCAGCAGCUGUUCUUUCGAGUCUACAAUCGUUUUGUUCGAAGACAAGGCAGGGUAUGCUGUUUACUAUUCUGGAGACUAUAAGCAGAAUAAGGUGUUGUGGUGGCAAUAUUCACUUUCUUUGGGUGCCAGCUCAUGUAGGAAUCAGUGGAAAUGAAAAGGUGGAUAGGUUGGCAAAAGGAGCAUUGACUAAACAUAGGACUGAGAUGGAAAUUAAAAGCAGCGGAUCUGAAGCAAAGGGUAUUGUUUGGAGGCAGGUUGUUCAGGAGUGGCAGGAGCGGUGGGAUUCAGGGAGUAAGGGCAGGCACUUGUAUCAUUUUAAGAAGGAGGUGGCAGGGUGUAGGUUGUAUGGGGGUAAUACGAUAGAAGAGGUGGUCAUUACCAGGCUUAGAUUGGGACAUUGUGCGUUAAAUAAAACACUACAGAUGAUAGGAGAACAUGAGACGGGGCUUUGUGGGGUGUGCCAGGAGGAGGAGGAGACGGUAGAGCAUGUAAUACUGCGGUGCAAGGGUUAUGAUGUGGAGAGAAAAGUUCUGCAGAAUAGAUUGAGGGAGCGGGGAAUCGGGGAAUUUAAUCUGAAGAGUGUGUUGGAGGGUAGUAGGGCACAGAUGAGGGACUUGGUGGGGUUUUUGAAGGCUAUAGGUGUGUAUGAAAGAGUGUGAGGGUUUGUGGGGUUUUUUUUUUUUUUGAUACAGAUUGUAAGCUCACUGUCUGAUCCAUACUCCAGAACAGUAGGAGGCGGUAAUGCUCCUUUUACAUUGGUUGCCAACCGCCGUUAAAAACGAAGAAGAAGAAGAACUUUCCACAACUUUCCCCAGCCAGGAAGGAGAAGUCAACUCCAGGUGUUGCUGGACCUUUGAUUUCUUCAGAUCUCAUCUUCAUCUGCAUGGACCUUGGAAAGGCAAGCAGUAGAGGCACAGCAGUGAUUGAAGUGAAGCCCUUAGUGGUGACAGUUCCAGCCUUGAUAUUAAUGGAAGCCCACAUAAUUGCGCAAGCCAUUAAGGAAGUACAGAUGCUAUCAGGGAGUGCACACAUCGUUAUUUCUCAGUGUAACACCUCAUUAAUAUUUGUUGUGUUUUAAUUUUUUUUCUCCACCUCCCUCCCACUUUGAGAGGAUGAAGGGAGGACUGGAUGCUGUGCAAGAUAGAAAAUGACAGCGAGAUGAAUCUUCCUGACUCCAGGCAGAUGUUUCCUGUUCAGCAUUCAAAUUAGAGGCACACCUUGAUGAGAGCUUCAACAGGACACCCAGUAGAAAUAUUUUGGUAGAUCAUAAAAUAGAUGUAGGCAUCCUCAUCGCAUGACUGAAACUUCCCUGAGUAUUUCAAAGGUCAGAUGGCUAAGAGCGAGGUGUGAUCUAUUCAGAGCUGGCAGAAACAGCAGCAUCCCUCUCUAACCUUUUACUACUCAGGUCAUUGUUGGGUUUGUUGUCACCUCCGGUCUUUUUACAGUCUCUGCAAACAUCAAGUGUUGGACCUGAAGUGUUGAACUGGCAAACAUGGCCACGCUGUAAAUAUUUUACUUGCAAUGUGUCACUUGUUCAAUUUAGCUGAUCUGAAUCAUGAUGCACCUUUAGUAAUUAAGAUGCUUUGUUGAUACAGAUUCGCUCAUGCAGAUUUGGUUAUUGAACUAGAGCAAUGAUGUUGGAGAAGACUAGCUGUUGGCCUCCGUGUAUACCUGAAGGAGAAUGAUCUCAAGAAUAAAACUAGGUCUGAUUUCAAUUUAA